AGCGAACGCUGGCGGCAGGCCUAACACAUGCAAGUCGAACGAACCUUUCGGGGUUAGUGGCGGACGGGUGAGUAACACAUGGGAACGUGCCUUUAGGUUCGGAAUAACUCAGGGAAACUUGUGCUAAUACCGAAUGUGCCCUUCGGGGGAAAGAUUAAUCGCCUUUAGAGCGGCCCGCGUCUGAUUAGCUAGUUGGUUGAGGUAAUGGCUCACCAAGGCGACGAUCAGUAGCUGGUCUGAGAGGAUGAUCAGCCACAUUGGGACUGAGACACGGCCCAAACUCCUACGGGAGGCAGCAGUGGGGAAUCUUGCGCAAUGGGCGAAAGCCUGACGCAGCCAUGCCGCGUGAAUGAUGAAGGUCUUAGGAUUGUAAAAUUCUUUCACCGGGGACGAUAAUGACGGUACCCGGAGAAGAAGCCCCGGCUAACUUCGUG
rnacentral:rRNA from 1 species